rnacentral:rRNA from 1 species
AUUGAACGCUGGCGGCAGGCCUAACACAUGCAAGUCGAACGGUAACAGGAAGAAGCUUGCUUCUUUGCUGACGAGUGGCGGACGGGUGAGUAAUGUCUGGGAAACUGCCUGAUGGAGGGGGAUAACUACUGGAAACGGUAGCUAAUACCGCAUAACGUCGCAAGACCAAAGAGGGGGACCUUCGGGCCUCUUGCCAUCGGAUGUGCCCAGAUGGGAUUAGCUAGUAGGUGGGGUAACGGCUCACCUAGGCGACGAUCCCUAGCUGGUCUGAGAGGAUGACCAGCCACACUGGAACUGAGACACGGUCCAGACUCCUACGGGAGGCAGCAGUGGGGAAUAUUGCACAAUGGGCGCAAGCCUGAUGCAGCCAUGCCGCGUGUAUGAAGAAGGCCUUCGGGUUGUAAAGUACUUUCAGCGGGGAGGAAGGGAGUAAAGUUAAUACCUUUGCUCAUUGACGUUACCCGCAGAAGAAGCACCGGCUAACUCCGUGCCAGCCGCCGCGGUAACAC